UGCAACACUGUGAUCAAAGUAGUAAAGAACUGCUAUCAUGGUUGCUGGUAUGAAUGCUCCAACUAUAUACAAUGGAGGCACUCUCAACAUUUCCUUUAUAACCGUCCAAUUUGAGUAGGCACCCUGAGACCAUGGAUUGGGACUGAAAAGCCUUCUUGGGAUCCCAAGUGGGACAUUGUUGACUGGAAUGUAAGAUAAGGCUGUCCAUACGAGCACCAUAAGUGGAACUCCAUAA
rnacentral:misc_RNA from 1 species